AUUGAACGCUGGCGGCAGGCUUAACACAUGCAAGUCGAGCGGGGUGAUGGUGCUUGCACUAUCACUUAGCGGCGGACGGGUGAGUAAUGCUUAGGAAUCUGCCUAUUAGUGGGGGACAACAUCUCGAAAGGGAUGCUAAUACCGCAUACGUCCUACGGGAGAAAGCAGGGGAUCACUUGUGACCUUGCGCUAAUAGAUGAGCCUAAGUCGGAUUCGCUAGAUGGUGGGGUAAAGGCCUACCAAGGCGACGAUCUGUAGCGGGUCUGAGAGGAUGAUCCGCCACACUGGGACUGAGACACGGCCCAGACUCCUACGGGAGGCAGCAGUGGGGAAGAUUGGACAAUGGGGGGAACCCCGAUCCAGCCAUGCCGCGUGUGUGAAGAAGGCCUUAUGGUUGUAAAGCACUUUAAGCGAGGAGGAGGCUCUUUUGGUUAAUACCCAAGAUGAGUGGACGUUACUCGCAGAAUAAGCACCGGCUAACUCUGUGCCAGCCGCCGCGGUAA
rnacentral:rRNA from 1 species